UGUUGUCAUCUGGCGUCCACCUGAGUGACUUUAGUGGACAAUUUUUGGUUCCAACUAAGGCACGCGGUGAAUGCCACGUGGCAACCG
rnacentral:pre_miRNA from 1 species